UACGAAGGGGGCUAGCGUUGCUCGGAAUGACUGGGCGUAAAGGGCGCGUAGGCGGUCUGUCGCGUCGGCUGUGAAAACCCGGGGCUCAACCCCGGGCCUGCAGUCGAUACGGGCAGACUAGAGUGCGGUAGGGGAGACUGGAAUUCCUGGUGUAGCGGUGAAAUGCGCAGAUAUCAGGAGGAACACCGGUGGCGAAGGCGGGUCUCUGGGCCGUAACUGACGCUGAGGAGCGAAAGCGUGGGGAGCGAACAGG
rnacentral:rRNA from 1 species